rnacentral:rRNA from 1 species
UACGUAGGGUGCAAGCGUUGUCCGGAAUUAUUGGGCGUAAAGAGCUCGUAGGCGGUUUGUCGCGUCUGCUGUGAAAACCCGAGGCUCAACCUCGGGCCUGCAGUGGGUACGGGCAGACUAGAGUGCGGUAGGGGAGAUUGGAAUUCCUGGUGUAGCGGUGGAAUGCGCAGAUAUCAGGAGGAACAACCAAUGGCGAAGGCAGAUCUCUGGGCCGUAACUGACGCUGAGGAGCGAAAGCAUGGGGAGCGAACAGG